rnacentral:rRNA from 1 species
CUCGCGUGUCGUGCCAGCCGCCGCGGUAAUACAGAGGGUGCGAGCGUUAAUCGGAAUUACUGGGCGUAAAGCGAGUGUAGGUGGCUCAUUAAGUCACAUGUGAAAUCCCCGGGCUUAACCUGGGAACUGCAUGUGAUACUGGUGGUGCUAGAAUAUGUGAGAGGGAAGUAGAAUUCCAGGUGUAGCGGUGAAAUGCGUAGAGAUCUGGAGGAAUACCGAUGGCGAAGGCAGCUUCCUGGCAUAAUAUUGACACUGAGAUUCGAAAGCGUGGGUAGCAAACAGGAUUAGAUACCCUGGUAGUCCACGCCGUAAACGAUGUCUACUAGCCGUUGGGGUCCUUGAGACUUUAGUGGCGCAGUUAACGCGAUAAGUAGACCGCCUGGGGAGUACGG